CAAACGACUCUCGGCAACGGAUAUCUCGGCUCACGCAUCGAUGAAGAACGUAGCAAAAUGCGAUACUUGGUGUGAAUUGCAGAAUCCCGUGAACCAUCGAGUUUUUGAACGCAAGUUGCGCCCGAAGCCUUUUGGUYGAGGGCACGUCUGCCUGGGYGUCACAC
rnacentral:rRNA from 1 species